rnacentral:lncRNA from 10 species
AUAAACCCUCCCUGUCAGGCUUCCUGGUACCUCUUCCCUGGCUGCUAGCUGGAUGCUGAGGCCCUGGGGUGCUGAGCCACUGGUGGAGUGAAGCCUGGGCCUGAAAGGCUGGGUGAAACAGAAGUCAUGGGAUGGGCAGGAGAUGCUGAUCUAGGCUGAUACCUGGCAAACCCUACCUUGUCCUGCCCCUGACACUGCAGAUCUGAGGACGCGCUGGGGGAGCCGAGCAUCCAGG